CAUCUGUUAUUGGGUUCUACGGAA
rnacentral:siRNA from 1 species